rnacentral:rRNA from 1 species
GAUGAACGCUGGCGGCGUGCCUAACACAUGCAAGUCGAGCGAAGCGAUUUAGCGGAAGUUUUCGGAUGGAAGUUAAAUUGACUGAGCGGGCGACGGGUGAAGGUACGCGUAGGUUAACCUGCCUCAUACAGGGGGAUAACAGUUAGAAAUGACUGCUAAUACCGCAUGAGACCACAGCACCGCAUGGUGCAGGGGUAAAAACUCCGGUGGUAUGAGAUGGACCCGCGUCUGAUUAGGUAGUUGGUGGGGUAACGGCCUACCAAGCCGACGAUCAGUAGCCGGACUGAGAGGUUGAACGGCCACAUUGGGACUGAGACACGGCCCAG